rnacentral:rRNA from 1 species
UACGUAGGGUGCGAGCGUUAAUCGGAAUUACUGGGCGUAAAGCGUGCGUAGGCGGUCCCGCAAGUCCGCUGUGAAAGCCCCGAGCUUAACUUGGGAACUGCAGUGGAAACUAUGGGACUUGAAUCCGGCAGAGGGGGGUGGAAUGCCACGUGUAGCAGUGAAAUGCGUAGAGAUGUGGCGGAACACCGAUGGCGAAGACAGCCCCCUGGGCUGAGAUUGACGCUCAGGCACGAAAGCGUGGGGAGCAAACAGG